UACGGAGGAUGCAAGCGUUAUCCGGAUUUAUUGGGUUUAAAGGGUGCGUAGGCGGGAUUAUAAGUCAGUGGUGAAAACCUGCAGCUUAACUGUAGACUUGCCAUUGAUACUGUUUGGCUAGGAUUUGGUUGUAGUGUGCGGAAUGUGUGGUGUAGCGGUGAAAUGCUUAGAUAUCACACAGAACACCGAUUGCGAAGGCAGCACACUAAGUCAUUAUUGACGCUGAGGCACGAAAGCGUGGGGAGCAAACAGGA
rnacentral:rRNA from 1 species